rnacentral:rRNA from 1 species
UGGAAGUAAAAAGUCGUAACAAGGCUUCCGUAGGGUGAACCUGCGGAAGGAUCAUUAUUGAAAUAAACCUGAUAGGUUGUUGCUGGUUCUCUCGGGAGCAUGUGCACACUUGUCAUCUUUAUAUCUCCACCUGUGCACCUUUUGUAAAUCUGAAUAUCUUUCUGAAUGGCAUGCCAUUCAGGUUUUGAGGAUUGAUCUUUUUCUUUCCUUACAUUUUCAGGUUUAUGUUUUUCAUAUACCCCAAGUAUGUUAUAGAAUGUUAUAAACGGGCCUUUGUGCCUAUAAAUUUAUACAACUUUCAGCAACGGAUCUCUUGGCUCUCGCAUCGAUGAAGAACGCAGCGAAAUGCGAUAAGUAAUGUGAAUUGCAGAAUUCAGUGAAUCAUCGAAUCUUUGAACGCACCUUGCGCUCCUUGGUAUUCCGAGGAGCAUGCCUGUUUGAGUGUCAUUAAUAUAUCAACCUCUUCAGCUUUUUGCAUGUCGAGUGUUGGAUGUGGGGGUAUUUUUGCUGGACUCUAUAGAAUUCGAGGUCAGCUCCCCUAAAAUGCAUCAGCGAAACAAUUUGUUUACCGCUCAUUGGUGUGAUAACUAUCUACGCUAUUGACGGUGACGCAUGUUUAGCUUCUAACAGUCCAUUAACUUGGACAACCUUUAUUAAUGUGACCUCAAAUCAGGGUAGGACCUCCCCAU